rnacentral:misc_RNA from 1 species
GAUGAAGAACGCAGCGAAAUGCGAUAAGUAAUGUGAAUUGCAGAAUUCAGUGAAUCAUCGAAUCUUUGAACGCACCUUGCGCUCUUUGGUAUUCCGAAGAGCAUGCCUGUUUGAGUGUCAUGAAGAUAUCAACCUUGACUUGGGUUUUGUGCUCUAGUCUCGGCUUGGAAUUGGGUGCUUGCCGCUUUUACGAGCGGCUCACCUUAAAUGUAUUAGCUGGAUCUGUCUUUGAGACUUGGUUUGACUUGGCGUAAUAAGUAUUUCGCUAAGGACAUUCUUCGGAGUGGCCUCGUUUCUAGGACGCUUGUCCGCUUUCCAAUACAAGUUCCACCUCGUGGACAUGACUUUUUAUUAUCUGGCCUCAAAUCAGGUAGGACUACCCGCUGAACUUAAGCAUAUCAAUAAGCGGAGGA